GAUGAAGAACGCAGCAAAAUGCGAUAAGUAAUGUGAAUUGCAGAAUUCAGUGAAUCAUCGAAUCUUUGAACGCACAUUGCGCCCGCUGGUAUUCCGGCGGGCAUGCCUGUUCGAGCGUCAUUUCAACCCUCAAGCCCCCGGGUUUGGUGUUGGGGAUCGGCUCUGCCCUUCUGGGCGGUGCCGCCCCCGAAAUACAUUGGCGGUCUCGCUGCAGCCUCCAUUGCGUAGUAGCUAACACCUCGCAACUGGAACGCGGCGCGGCCAUGCCGUGAAACCCCAACUUCUGAAUGUUGACCUCGGAUCAGGUAGGAAUACCCGCUGAACUUAAGCAUAUCAAUAAGCGGAGGA
rnacentral:misc_RNA from 1 species